rnacentral:rRNA from 1 species
CAGCAGUCGCCGCGGUAAUACGAAGGGGGCUAGCGUUGCUCAGAAUUACUGGGCGUAAAGGGAGCGUAGGCGGAUCGUUUAGUCAGGGGUGAAAUCCCGGGGCUCAACCUCGGAACUGCCUUUGAUACUGGCGAUCUUGAGUACGGGAGAGGUGUGUGGAACUCCGAGUGUAGAGGUGAAAUUCGUAGAUAUUCGGAAGAACACCAGUGGCGAAGGCGACACACUGGCCCAUUACUGACGCUGAGGCUCGAAAGCGUGGGGAGCAAACAGGAUUAGAUACCCCCGUAGUCCCUGUCUCUUAUAC